GACGAACGCUGGCGGCGUGCCUAACACAUGCAAGUCAGGGAUUUUACGGUAGCAAUAUCGUGAAGUACCGGCGCACGGGUGAGUAAUACGUAGGUAACCUGCCAUUUGGCUGGGAAUAACCCCGCGAAAGCGGGACUAAAACCGAAUAAUGCAGCGGCUCCGCAUGGAGAUGUUGUUAAACCCCGCAAGGGGGCCAAAUGAUGGGCCUGCGUCCCAUUAGGUAGUUGGUAAGGUAACGGCUUACCAAGCCUACGAUGGGUAGCUGAUCUGAGAGGAUGAUCAGCCACACUGGAACUGAGACACGGUCCAGACUCCUACGGGA
rnacentral:rRNA from 1 species